GAUGAACUCGUUUAGUUAUCAGGAUAAGACUGGAACAUAUUGUAUACAUGGAUGCAUAUGCAACCCAUCUCACAGUGAGUCUACAGUUGCAGAGAACGAGAGGCCCUGGAAACCAGAACUCCUGCUGUCACAAUCAAUCCUCUCCUCCAGUCAAGAAGUUGGCACAAUGCUUACCUAGUGUACAGGAAACUCCGAGUUCAAUCCCUCAGCACCAGAGAAAACUCGAUAUGGUGGCACAAGCCUAUCAUCC